AUUGAACGCUGGCGGCAUGCCUUACACAUGCAAGUCGAACGGUAACAGGUCUUCGGAUGCUGACGAGUGGCGAACGGGUGAGUAAUACAUCGGAACGUGCCCGAUCGUGGGGGAUAACGAGGCGAAAGCUUUGCUAAUACCGCAUACGAUCUACGGAUGAAAGCGGGGGAUCUUCGGACCUCGCGCGGACGGAGCGGCCGAUGGCGGAUUAGGUAGUUGGUGGGAUAAAAGCUUACCAAGCCGACGAUCUGUAGCUGGUCUGAGAGGAUGAUCAGCCACACUGGGACUGAGACACGGCCCAGACUCCUACGGGAGGCAGCAGUGGGGAAUUUUGGACAAUGGGCGAAAGCCUGAUCCAGCCAUGCCGCGUGCAGGAUGAAGGCCUUUGGGUUGUAAACUGCUUUUGUACGGAACGAAAAGCCUCUUUCUAAUAAAGAGGGGUCAUGACGGUACCGGAAGAAUAAGCACCGGCUAACUACGUG
rnacentral:rRNA from 1 species